GAAAAAUUUUCCUGAAAGUUUGAAGUUUCAACCUAUUUUUACUGUUUGCAAAUAAAGAUUAAACUUUUGAAAUGUGCUGACAAGAAAUAACAGUGAGAGAAAACAACUUUGCCUUUUUCCCUACUCUAUUUCCUCUAAACACAACUAAGAGAAAACCUAGUAGCCUGCUGUGUUUGCCUGAGGAACUGAAGACCUCACAGUUCAGAAGAAGGACUCAUUAGCACUUGGCAUCUGCCUGUGCUCUGCAAUAAGAUAUGGCAAAGUCCAAUUCUCAAGCCUUCAUCCUGAGAUCAGAGAAACAGGAUUUUACUGAAAUCUCCUGGAGUGUAUCCUACUGUCACCUGCAGUUCAAGUUCCAUCAUACUUAACUGUUUCAAGGACUUACCCCCACACCUUACUUGAGACAGGAUCCUCAGGAUUAUCACUGUG